UAUGGAACAGGAGUCUUGACUGACUUUAAUGCCUGAACAAUAUUUAAGGUCGUGUGGCUCAUGUCUGUAGUCCAGCAUUCGAGAGGUUAAAGAAAGAAGGGAAAUUUAAAAGUAUGUGACCCUGUCUCAAAAACAAAAGCAAAGCAGCAGUUUUAAAAUGUGGCCAAUCUGUUUGUCUUUGCCCUGUUCAGUACUCUGAAGAAGCUAACCUCAUUGAAGAAUGUGAGCAAGCUGAGCGGCUUGGCGCGGUGGACGAAUCUCUGAGUGAGGAAACCCAGAAGGCUGUUCUUCAGUGGACCAAGCAUGAUGAUUCUUCAGACAGCUUCUGUGAAGUUGACGACAUACAGUCCCCUGAUGCUGAGUAUGUGGAUUUACUCCUUAACCCUGAGCGCUACACAGGCUACAAGGGGCCGGAUGCUUGGAGGAUAUGGAGUGUCAUCUAUGAAGAAAACUGUUUUAAACCGCAGACAAUUCAAAGGCCUUUAAAUCCUUUGGCUUCUGGUCAAGG